UUACGAUUUUAUUUCUUCGCAGAAGCGCGGGCGAUCGCUCGUCCGCCCACGGGUUCGCGUUCUCAAGAUAUGGAGGGGGAAGAAGGGAUGGAAGACGCGGCAGGCGACAGGCCUGCCGACCCGAAGGAUCGGGGUUCGACGGGCCCGGCGGCCACAGCUGCGCCUUCCACACUCUGUAAUGAUCCUUCCGCAGGUUCACCUACGGAAA
rnacentral:misc_RNA from 1 species